GGUUAAGCGACUAAGCGUACACGGUGGAUGCCCUGGCAGUCAGAGGCGAUGAAGGACGUGCUAAUCUGCGAUAAGCGCCGGUAAGGUGAUAUGAACCGUUAUAACCGGCGAUUUCCGAAUGGGGAACCCAGUGUGAUUCGUCACACUAUCAUUAACUGAAUCCAUAGGUUAAUGAGGCGAACCGGGGGAACUGAAACAUCUAAGUACCCCGAGGAAAAGAAAUCAACCGAGAUUCCCCCAGUAGCGGCGAGCGAACGGGGAGGAGCCCAGAGCCUGAAUCAGCAUGUGUGUUAGUGGAAGCGUCUGGAAAGGCGCGCGAUACAGGGUGACAGCCCCGUACACAAAAGCGCAUGUGCUGUGAGCUCGAUGAGUAGGGCGGGACACGUGGUAUCCUGUCUGAAUAUGGGGGGACCAUCCUCCAAGGCUAAAUACUCCUGACUGACCGAUAGUGAACCAGUACCGUGAGGGAAAGGCGAAAAGAACCCCGGCGAGGGGAGUGAAAAAGAACCUGAAACCGUGUACGUACAAGCAGUGGGAGCACAGGUUUACCUGUGUGACUGCGUACCUUUUGUAUAAUGGGUCAGCGACUUAUAUUCUGUAGCAAGGUUAACCGAAUAGGGGAGCCGGAGGGAAACCGAGUCUUAAUUGGGCGUUAAGUUGCAGGGUAUAGACCCGAAACCCGGUGAUCUAGCCAUGGGCAGGUUGAAGGUUGGGUAACACUAACUGGAGGACCGAACCGACUAAUGUUGAAAAAUUAGCGGAUGACCUGUGGCUGGGGGUGAAAGGCCAAUCAAACCGGGAGAUAGCUGGUUCUCCCCGAAAGCUAUUUAGGUAGCGCCUCGUGAACUCAUCUCCGGGGGUAGAGCACUGUUUCGGCUAGGGGGCCAUCCCGGCUUACCAACCCGAUGCAAACUGCGAAUACCGGAGAAUGUUAUCACGGGAGACACACGGCGGGUGCUAACGUCCGUCGUGAAGAGGGAAACAACCCAGACCGCCAGCUAAGGUCCCAAAGUCAUGGUUAAGUGGGAAACGAUGUGGGAAGGCCCAGACAGCCAGGAUGUUGGCUUAGAAGCAGCCAUCAUUUAAAGAAAGCGUAAUAGCUCACUGGUCGAGUCGUCGGCCUGCGCGGAAGAUGUAACGGGGCUAAACCAUGCACCGAAGCUGCGGCAGCGACACUGUGUGUUGUUGGGUAGGGGAGCGUUCUGUAAGCCUGUGAAGGUGGCCUGUGAGGGUUGCUGGAGGUAUCAGAAGUGCGAAUGCUGACAUAAGUAACGAUAAAGCGGGUGAAAAGCCCGCUCGCCGGAAGACCAAGGGUUCCUGUCCAACGUUAAUCGGGGCAGGGUGAGUCGACCCCUAAGGCGAGGCCGAAAGGCGUAGUCGAUGGGAAACAGGUUAAUAUUCCUGUACUUGGUGUUACUGCGAAGGGGGGACGGAGAAGGCUAUGUUGGCCGGGCGACGGUUGUCCCGGUUUAAGCGUGUAGGCUGGUUUUCCAGGCAAAUCCGGAAAAUCAAGGCUGAGGCGUGAUGACGAGGCACUACGGUGCUGAAGCAACAAAUGCCCUGCUUCCAGGAAAAGCCUCUAAGCAUCAGGUAACAUCAAAUCGUACCCCAAACCGACACAGGUGGUCAGGUAGAGAAUACCAAGGCGCUUGAGAGAACUCGGGUGAAGGAACUAGGCAAAAUGGUGCCGUAACUUCGGGAGAAGGCACGCUGACACGUAGGUGAAGUGAUUUACUCAUGGAGCUGAAGUCAGUCGAAGAUACCAGCUGGCUGCAACUGUUUAUUAAAAACACAGCACUGUGCAAACACGAAAGUGGACGUAUACGGUGUGACGCCUGCCCGGUGCCGGAAGGUUAAUUGAUGGGGUCAGCGCAAGCGAAGCUCCUGAUCGAAGCCCCGGUAAACGGCGGCCGUAACUAUAACGGUCCUAAGGUAGCGAAAUUCCUUGUCGGGUAAGUUCCGACCUGCACGAAUGGCGUAAUGAUGGCCAGGCUGUCUCCACCCGAGACUCAGUGAAAUUGAACUCGCUGUGAAGAUGCAGUGUACCCGCGGCAAGACGGAAAGACCCCGUGAACCUUUACUAUAGCUUGACACUGAACAUUGAGCCUUGAUGUGUAGGAUAGGUGGGAGGCUUUGAAGCGUGGACGCCAGUCUGCGUGGAGCCGACCUUGAAAUACCACCCUUUAAUGUUUGAUGUUCUAACGUGGACCCGUAAUCCGGGUUGCGGACAGUGUCUGGUGGGUAGUUUGACUGGGGCGGUCUCCUCCUAAAGAGUAACGGAGGAGCACGAAGGUUGGCUAAUCCUGGUCGGACAUCAGGAGGUUAGUGCAAUGGCAUAAGCCAGCUUGACUGCGAGCGUGACGGCGCGAGCAGGUGCGAAAGCAGGUCAUAGUGAUCCGGUGGUUCUGAAUGGAAGGGCCAUCGCUCAACGGAUAAAAGGUACUCCGGGGAUAACAGGCUGAUACCGCCCAAGAGUUCAUAUCGACGGCGGUGUUUGGCACCUCGAUGUCGGCUCAUCACAUCCUGGGGCUGAAGUAGGUCCCAAGGGUAUGGCUGUUCGCCAUUUAAAGUGGUACGCGAGCUGGGUUUAGAACGUCGUGAGACAGUUCGGUCCCUAUCUGCCGUGGGCGCUGGAGAACUGAGGGGGCUGCUCCUAGUACGAGAGGACCGGAGUGGACGCAUCACUGGUGUUCGGGUUGUCAUGCCAAUGGCACUGCCCGGUAGCUAAAUGCGGAAGAGAUAAGUGCUGAAAGCAUCUAAGCACGAAACUUGCCCCGAGAUGAGUUCUCCCUGAGACUUAGAGUCUCCUGAAGGAACGUUGAAGACGACGACGUUGAUAGGCCGGGUGUAAGCGCAGCGAUGCGUUGAGCUAACCGGUACUAAUGAACCGUGAGGCUUAACCUU
rnacentral:rRNA from 1 species